GAUGGACGCUGGCGGCGUGCCUAAUACAUGCAAGUCGAGCGAACAGACGAGGAGCUUGCUCCUCUGACGUUAGCGGCGGACGGGUGAGUAACACGUGGAUAACCUACCUAUAAGACUGGGAUAACUUCGGGAAACCGGAGCUAAUACCGUAUAAUAUAUUGAACCGCAUGGUUCAAUAGUGAAAGACGGUUUUGCUGUCACUUAUAGAUGGAUCCGCGCCGCAUUAGCUAGUUGGUAAGGUAACGGCUUACCAAGGCAACGAUGCGUAGCCGACCUGAGAGGGUGAUCGGCCACACUGGAACUGAGACACGGUCCAGACUCCUACGGGAGGCAGCAGUAGGGAAUCUUCCGCAAUGGGCGAAAGCCUGACGGAGCAACGCCGCGUGAGUGAUGAAGGUCUUCGGAUCGUAAAACUCUGUUAUUAGGGAAGAACAAAUGUGUAAGUAACUAUGCACGUCUUGACGGUACCUAAUCAGAAAGCCACGGCUAACUACGUG
rnacentral:rRNA from 1 species